rnacentral:tRNA from 1 species
GCGCCCGUAGCUCAACUGGACAGAGCCGGCGGCUUCUACCCGCUGCGAAUGUGGGGGUUCGAGUCCUCCCGGGCGCA